GAGAAGAACGCAGCGAAAUGCGAUACGUAAUGUGAAUUGCAGAAUUCAGUGAAUCAUCGAGUCUUUGAACGCACAUUGCGCCCCCUGGUAUUCCGGGGGGCAUGCCUGUCCGAGCGUCAAUGCUGCCCUCAAGCACGGCUUGUGUGUUGGGCCUCCGUCCUCCUCCCGGGGGACGGGCCCGAAAGGCAGCGGCGGCACCGCGUCCGGUCCUCGAGCGUAUGGGGCUUCGUCACCCGCUCUUGUAGGCCCGGCCGGCGCUUGCCGACACAUCAAUCUUUUUUCCAGGUUGACCUCGGAUCAGGUAGGGAUACCCGCUGAACUUAAGCAUAUCAAUAAGCGGAGGA
rnacentral:misc_RNA from 1 species